UACGUAGGGUGCAAGCGUUGUCCGGAAUCAUUGGGCGUAAAGCGCGUGUAGGCGGCUCGAUAAGUCUGCUGUGAAAGUCCAGGGCUCAACCCUGGGAUGCCGGUGGAUACUGUCGAGCUCGAGUCCGGAAGAGGCGAGUGGAAUUCCUGGUGUAGCGGUGAAAUGCGCAGAUAUCAGGAGGAACACCAAUGGCGAAGGCAGCUCGCUGGGACGGUACUGACGCUGAGGCGCGAAAGCGUGGGGAGCAAACAGG
rnacentral:rRNA from 1 species